AAAAAACAAAAAAGGAGGGGAGGGAAGGCAUGGAAAAGAAAAAAAGAAAGAAAAAUUAUCGCAAAUCUUUUCACUAUUGAUACUACAAUCUGUUAAAUUGCAGUGGUAAUUUGGAUAAUUGCAGCAUCUUAAUUUCUCUCUUUAUAGCAGUCUUCCUGUACCUCCUGUCAUAACUUCAGUCAGCUUCACCAUCUCAUCUUCUUCUCUACAGCUUUUCCACACCCUGCUUUGUUCCUUCACAAGUUUAUUCUAUCAACCUUCCUACUCUUUUUCACAUUGUUCUUAUACCUCAAUUAUUUCUAGAUUGUAAACUCAUUCAAAGCAUUCACUUUUUUGGUUUUGUUAUCAUUAUUUACUUUAUCAUUAACCUGCUGUUUUAUUUCCCUUUUUAACCAUUGUUAACUGCUCAGGAAUACUCUGUCAUUGUUGCAAACCACAAUGCAAAUAAGCUUCAGUAAUAGUUUGAAGAACAAGACAAAGAGUUCAAGUGGUUGCCUUGGCCUCCAAAUUACCCAGAUCUCAAUCCAAUUGAGCAUCUGUGGAAUGUGCUGGAAUGAUAAAUCAGCUCCAUUUAGACCUCAUCUCGCAAGUUGCAGGCCUUAAAGUAUCUACUGUUAAUGUCUUGGUGCCAGAUACCACAGGACAUAUUCAGAAGUCAUGUGGAGUCCAUGCCUUGACUCACCAGAGCUGUUUUGGCAGCAUGAGGGGGAUCUACACAAUUUUAGGCAGGUGAUUUUAAUGUUAUGGCUGAUUAGUGUAUCAUUUACUUGCCAUCAAGCAUACCCUUUCUAUAAAUGUAAAUCCAUAUGGAAUAUGUUGGCGCUUAUGGCUGUCAUGAAAAUUCUUGGGGCCCCUUACAAGCUGACUGGCCGGGCCCCACAACACACACAUCCAAACACACACAUAUUAUCAGACAGAGACACUUCAACACGUGAUCCCAGAGAGAGAUUCUAUUGAGGAUCUGCAGGUACAGGACGAUGGGCUCCUGGUACCUCUUCUAACAUCCAGUGCAGCUUCACGAGAACUGGGAGGAAGGAAUCUUACAGUAGAGAAGAAGAGGAGUAUUGGUUGUCACCACCUGGCGGCCCUGUUUGCGCUAUAUAUAUGCCAAUAAUAAUAAUACACUUAUUUGUGCAUUUUCCCACCAUUUGGUUUCUAGAUCAAGCGAAAAAAAAGGAAAAAAGAGAGGGAUAAAGAGGAGGAUCAUUAAA